GGAGUUCGGUCCGUGUCUCAGUACCGAUGUGUGGGAUCUUCCUUUUAGAACCCAUAGGCAUCAUCGUCUUGGUGGGCCGUUGCCCCGCCAACUAACUAAUGCCACGCAUGCCCAUCCACCACCUAUGAAUAUUUAAUUGGAUACCGAUGCCGGUUCCCAAUGCCAUCGGAGUUUAAUCGUCCUUUCGGUCGGCUAUCUCCGUGUGGUGGGCAGGUUGCAUACGCGUUACUCACCCGUCCGCCGCUCGUCAUCAAAAUAUUGCUAUCUCAUGUUACCGCUCGACUUGCAUGUGUUAGGCCUGCCGCUAGCGUUUAUC
rnacentral:rRNA from 1 species